rnacentral:rRNA from 1 species
UUGAAGAGUUUGAUCAUGGCUCAGAUUGAACGCUGGCGGCAGGCCUAACACAUGCAAGUCGAGCGGUAGCACAGAGAGCUUGCUCUUGGGUGACGAGCGGCGGACGGGUGAGUAAUGUCUGGGAAACUGCCUGAUGGAGGGGGAUAACUACUGGAAACGGUAGCUAAUACCGCAUAACGUCGCAAGACCAAAGUGGGGGACCUUCGGGCCUCAUGCCAUCAGAUGUGCCCAGAUGGGAUUAGCUAGUAGGUGGGGUAAUGGCUCACCUAGGCGACGAUCCCUAGCUGGUCUGAGAGGAUGACCAGCCACACUGGAACUGAGACACGGUCCAGACUCCUACGGGAGGCAGCAGUGGGGAAUAUUGCACAAUGGGCGCAAGCCUGAUGCAGCCAUGCCGCGUGUGUGAAGAAGGCCUUCGGGUUGUAAAGCACUUUCAGCGGGGAGGAAGGCGGUGAGGUUAAUAACCUCAUCGAUUGACGUUACCCGCAGAAGAAGCACCGGCUAACUCCGUGCCAGCAGCCGCGGUAAUACGGAGGGUGCAAGCGUUAAUCGGAAUUACUGGGCGUAAAGCGCACGCAGGCGGUCUGUCAAGUCGGAUGUGAAAUCCCCGGGCUCAACCUGGGAACUGCAUUCGAAACUGGCAGGCUAGAGUCUUGUAGAGGGGGUAGAAUUCCAGGUGUAGCGGUGAAAUGCGUAGAGAUCUGGAGGAAUACCGGUGGCGAAGGCGGCCCCCUGGACAAAGACUGACGCUCAGGUGCGAAAGCGUGGGGAGCAAACAGGAUUAGAUACCCUGGUAGUCCACGCCGUAAACGAUGUCGAUUUGGAGGUUGUGCCCUUGAGGCGUGGCUUCCGGAGCUAACGCGUUAAAUCGACCGCCUGGGGAGUACGGCCGCAAGGUUAAAACUCAAAUGAAUUGACGGGGGCCCGCACAAGCGGUGGAGCAUGUGGUUUAAUUCGAUGCAACGCGAAGAACCUUACCUGGUCUUGACAUCCACAGAACUUUCCAGAGAUGGAUUGGUGCCUUCGGGAACUGUGAGACAGGUGCUGCAUGGCUGUCGUCAGCUCGUGUUGUGAAAUGUUGGGUUAAGUCCCGCAACGAGCGCAACCCUUAUCCUUUGUUGCCAGCGGUUCGGCCGGGAACUCAAAGGAGACUGCCAGUGAUAAACUGGAGGAAGGUGGGGAUGACGUCAAGUCAUCAUGGCCCUUACGACCAGGGCUACACACGUGCUACAAUGGCAUAUACAAAGAGAAGCGACCUCGCGAGAGCAAGCGGACCUCAUAAAGUAUGUCGUAGUCCGGAUUGGAGUCUGCAACUCGACUCCAUGAAGUCGGAAUCGCUAGUAAUCGUAGAUCAGAAUGCUACGGUGAAUACGUUCCCGGGCCUUGUACACACCGCCCGUCACACCAUGGGAGUGGGUUGCAAAAGAAGUAGGUAGCUUAACCUUCGGGAGGGCGCUUACCACUUUGUGAUUCAUGACUGGGGUGAAGUCGUAACAAGGUAACCGUAGGGGAACCUGCGGUUGGAUCACCUCCUU